rnacentral:rRNA from 1 species
AUUGAACGCUAGCGGGAUGCCUUACACAUGCAAGUCGAACGGAGUGGCGAACGGGUGCGUAAGGUAUCGGAACGGGCCCAGUCCCGGGGGCUAACUACGCGCAAGCGUAACUAAUACCAAAUCCUCUUGCAACGGGCGAUAGCGGAUUAGCUAGAUGGGGGGGGAAAGGUUAACCAAGGCGAAGGUCCGGAGCUGGUUUGAGAGGACGACCAGCCACACUGGGACGGAGACACGGCCCAGACUCCUACGGGAGGCAGCAGUGGGGAAUUUUGGACAAGGGGGGAAACCCUGAUCCAGCCAUCCCGCUUGUGUGAUGAAGGCCUUCGGGUUGUAAAGCACUUUUGGCAGGAAAGCGGUACCUGCAGAAUAAGCACCGGCUAACUACGUGCCAGCAGCCGCGGUAAUUC